AGAGGCUGAGGUGAAAGGAUCUGGAGGAGAGGAAGUAUUGCUGAAUCCUGAGAUUUAGACUGUGCAGCUGCAGAGAGGAGAGAAUAUAACAUUGGUUGAAAUUGCUGUCCAAUUCUCCUCUUCUUCCCUGGAUGCCCCCAGAUAAAGAUCAAUCAAAGCUCUUGGAGUCAAGUGAUUGUGAGACUCAUCUUUCAUUUUAAGACGGAAAGAAGUUCCUACCCUUCAUGGCUGCAGAGUAAAGUUUAAAACACGAACCCUAAUUCCUCAAAAAGCAGAAGGCAAGUAAAAAGAGC